AAGUGUUGCAGCUCUUUUAGAAUUUGUCUAGCAGGCUUUCUGGCAGUUGCCGGAAAGCCCCU
rnacentral:snRNA from 17 species